rnacentral:rRNA from 1 species
AGAGUUUGAUCAUGGCUCAGGAUGAACGCUAGCGGCAGGCUUAACACAUGCAAGUCGAGGGGUAUAGGUUUUCGGACCUAGAGACCGGCGCACGGGUGCGUAACGCGUAUGCAAUCUACCUUUUACAGAGGGAUAGCCCAGAGAAAUUUGGAUUAAUACCUCAUAGUAUUACAGAAUGGCAUCAUUCAGUAAUUAAAGUCACAACGGUAAAAGAUGAGCAUGCGUCCCAUUAGCUAGUUGGUAAGGUAACGGCUUACCAAGGCAACGAUGGGUAGGGGUCCUGAGAGGGAGAUCCCCCACACUGGUACUGAGACACGGACCAGACUCCUACGGGAGGCAGCAGUGAGGAAUAUUGGUCAAUGGGCGCAAGCCUGAACCAGCCAUGCCGCGUGCAGGAUGACGGUCCUAUGGAUUGUAAACUGCUUUUGUACAGGAAGAAACAUCUCUACGUGUAGAGACUUGACGGUACUGUAAGAAUAAGGAUCGGCUAACUCCGUGCCAGCAGCCGCGGUAAUACGGAGGAUCCAAGCGUUAUCCGGAAUCAUUGGGUUUAAAGGGUCCGUAGGCGGUUUUGUAAGUCAGUGGUGAAAGCCCAUCGCUCAACGGUGGAACGGCCAUUGAUACUGCAAGACUUGAAUUAUUAGGAAGUAACUAGAAUAUGUAGUGUAGCGGUGAAAUGCUUAGAGAUUACAUGGAAUACCAAUUGCGAAGGCAGGUUGCUACUAAUGGAUUGACGCUGAUGGACGAAAGCGUGGGGAGCGAACAGGAUUAGAUACCCUAGUAGUCC